rnacentral:rRNA from 1 species
AGCGAACGCUGGCGGCAGGCCUAACACAUGCAAGUCGAACGAACCUUUCGGGGUUAGUGGCGGACGGGUGAGUAACACGUGGGAACGUGCCUUUAGGUUCGGAAUAACUCAGGGAAACUUGUGCUAAUACCGAAUGUGCCCUUCGGGGGAAAGAUUAAUCGCCUUUAGAGCGGCCCGCGUCUGAUUAGCUAGUUGGUUGAGGUAAUGGCUCACCAAGGCGACGAUCAGUAGCUGGUCUGAGAGGAUGAUCAGCCACAUUGGGACUGAGACACGGCCCAAACUACUACGGGAGGCAGCAGUGGGGAAUCUUGCGCAAUGGGCGAAAGGCUGACGCAGCCAUGCCGCGUGAAUGAUGAAGGUCUUAGGAUUGUAAAAUUCUUUCACCGGGGACGAUAAUGACGGUACCCGGAGAAGAAGCCCCGGCUAACUUCGUG